GAUGAAGAACGUAGCGAAAUGCGAUACGUAAUGUGAAUUGCAGAAUUCAGUGAAUCAUCGAGUCUUUGAACGCACAUUGCGCCCUCUGGUAUUCCGGAGGGCAUGCCUGUCCGAGCGUCAUUGCUGCCCUCAAGCACGGCUUGUGUGUUGGGCCCCGCCCCCCGAUCCCGGGGGGCGGGCCCGAAAGGCAGCGGCGGCACCGCGUCCGGUCCUCGAGCGUAUGGGGCUUUGUCACCCGCUCUGUAGGCCCGGCCGGCGCCUGCCGAUCAACCAAACUUUUUUCCAGGUUGACCUCGGAUCAGGUAGGGAAACCCGCUGAACUUAAGCAUAUCAAUAAGCGGAGGA
rnacentral:misc_RNA from 1 species